rnacentral:rRNA from 1 species
UACGGGGGGAGCAAGCGUUGUUCGGAUUUACUGGGCGUAAAGGGCGCGUAGGCGGCCAGCACAAGUCAGUUGUGAAAUCUCCGAGCUUAACUCGGAACGGUCAACUGAUACUGUGCGGCUAGAGUGCGGAAGGGGCAACUGGAAUUCUUGGUGUAGCGGUGAAAUGCGUAGAGAUCAUGAGGAAGACCAGUGGCGAAGGCGGGUCUCUGGACAGUUCCUGACACUGAGGCACGAAGGCCAGGGGAGCAAACGGG